GAAAUGCGAUAAGUAAUGUGAAUUGCAGAAUUCAGUGAAUCAUCGAAUCUUUGAACUCACAUUGCGCCCGCCAGUACUCUGGCGGGCAUGCCUGUUCGAGCGUCAUUACAUCCCUCAAGCCCCUGCGGCUUGGUGUUGGGCCUCGGCCGUCCUCAGCGGCGGCCGUGCCCCAAAUACAGUGGCGGUCUCGCCCCCGGCUCCUCUGCGUAGUAGUAACACCUCGCACUGGGACGGAGCGAAGGCCACGCCGUAAAACAACCCAACUUUCUGAAUGUUGACCUCGGAUCAGGUAGGAAUACCCGCUGAACUUAAGC
rnacentral:misc_RNA from 1 species